GAAGCGCGAAAUGUAGUGUGAAUCGCAGAACAUUGUGAAUCAUCGAAUCUUUGAACGCACAUUGCGCCUCUCCUAACACGGGAGGCAUGCCUGUCUGAGCUUCAUUUAAAACCAUUGAUCCUGAUGGGAUCAGUGUUGGGCCUCGCCCGUGGGCGUCGCCUGAAAGUCAUCUGUCUUAAUGAGCGGACGAGAUCCUCUGGGACUGACCGCCUGGGACCAUAAACCUCUGACUUGAACUCAGAUCAGGUAGGACUACCGCCUGAACUUAA
rnacentral:misc_RNA from 1 species